UAGUCAAUUGUUAUUAUUCAUAUUAAUUUUUUUAAAUGUUUUUUAAUUUUAUAUUAGUUUAUUGAAUCAUUUUUGUUUAUCAAUGUUUAGGAAUAGUUAAUAAUAUUUUAUAAUUCUGAUUAGAUUACUUUGUUUAUGCUAUACAAAGGGGUGUGGAAAUUGUGUUAAAAUGACCGAAAUAAAAUAUAAUAAAUUAUAUAUAACUUGUUAGUCAGAAAUGGAUGCCAGCCGUUGCGGUAAUAUCUAUGCUUUUAAAUAUUAUACAUUUAUAUUAUUUAGUUUGUUAUUUAAUUAUUUUAAUCAACAAAAAUUAGGUUUAUUUUUAUUUGUUUUUAAACACCUUAUGGUAUAUGCAAAUAUAAAAUGACAUUAUUUAUUAAUUAUAUUAUAUUAUAUUUAUUCACAUAAAUUGAGUACAGGAAUUUUAAGUUUUUGACACCAUGAAAAGGCUAAGGAAUGAAAUUGUAAAUUUUAUAAUCAAAAUUAAAUUUUUAUAUUAAAUAAGAAUGUUUAGAUAAAAAAAUAGAUUUACAAGGUAUUGUUGCCCACCAAUUUUUAUAAUAAAAAUAACGUGCAGUAAUGAAUGAACUUAUAAAAGUACAUUUU
rnacentral:ncRNA from 1 species